GAUGGCGACCGGCGCACGGGUGAGUAACGCGUAUGCAACCUGCCCGAUACCGGGGUAUAGCCCAUGGAAACGUGGAUUAACACCCCAUAGUACUUUUAUCCUGCCUGGGAUGGGAGUUAAAUGUUCAAGGUAUCGGAUGGGCAUGCGUCCUAUUAGUUAGUUGGCGGGGUAACAGCCCACCAAGACGAUGAUAGGUAGGGGUUCUGAGAGGAAGGUCCCCCACAUUGGAACUGAGACACGGUCCAAACUCC
rnacentral:rRNA from 1 species